CCUACGGGUGGCAGCAGUGGGGAAUAUUGGGCAAUGGGCGCAAGCCUGACCCAGCAACGCCGCGUGAAGGAAGAAGGCUUUCGGGUUGUAAACUUCUUUUCUCAGGGACGAAGCAAGUGACGGUACCUGAGGAAUAAGCCACGGCUAACUACGCGCCAGCAGCCGCGGUAAUACGGAGGUGGCAAUCGUUAUCCGGAUUUACUGGGUGUAAAGGGCGUGUAGGCGGGAAAGCAAGUCAGAUGUGAAAACCAUGGGCUCAACCUGUGGCCUGCAUUUGAAACUGUUUUUCUUGAGGACUGGGGAGGCAGGCGGAAUUCGUGGUGUAGCGGUGAAAUGCGUAGAUAUUAGGAGGAACCCCAGUGGCGAAGGCGGUCUGCUGGACAGCAACUGACGCUGAGGCGCGAAAGCGUGGGGAGCAAACAGGAUUAGAUACCCUGGUAGUC
rnacentral:rRNA from 1 species